GUCUAUGGCCAUACCACCCAGAAUGUGCCAAAUCUUGUCUAAUCUCAGAAGUUAAAUAGGGUUGGCUUGGUUAGUACUUGGAAUGGAGUCCAAUAUAAAAAUGAAAAUUUAUACAGCUAAGACU
rnacentral:rRNA from 1 species